rnacentral:rRNA from 1 species
ACGACCAUACCCACUGGAAAACUCGGGAUCCCGUCCGCUCUCCCAUAGAUAAGCCAGUGAGGGCUGGAGUAGUAGUCGGGUCGGUGACGACCGGCGAAUGCCCGGUGUUGUAUGUC